rnacentral:misc_RNA from 1 species
AGCAGCCGCGGUAAUUCCAGCUCCAAUAGCGUAUAUUAAAGUUGCUGCAGUUAAAAAGCUCGUAGUUGAAUUUCGGGACCAUCAUGUUGGUCGUGCCUCGGUACGUACUGGCAUUGUUGGUUUCUCCCUUCUGACGAACCAUGAUGUCAUUUAUUUGGUGUCGUGGGAAAUCAGGACUGUUACUUUGAAAAAAUUAGAGUGUUUAAAGCAGGCUCACGCUUGAAUACAUUAGCAUGGAAUAAUGAAAUAGGACGUUUGAUUCUAUUUUGUUGGUUUCUAGGAUCGACGUAAUGAUUAAUAGGGAUAGUUGGGGGCAUUAGUAUUCAAUUGUCAGAGGUGAAAUUCUUGGAUUUAUUGAAGACUAACUACUGCGAAAGCAUUUGCCAAGGAUGUUUUCAUUAAUCAAGAACGAAAGUUAGGGGAUCGAAGACGAUCAGAUACCGUCGUAGUCUUAACCAUAAACUAUGCCGACUAGGGAUCGGAUGAUGUUAAUUUUUUCAAUGAC